AUUGAACGCUGGCGGCAUGCCUUACACAUGCAAGUCGAACGGUAACAGGUCUUCGGAUGCUGACGAGUGGCGAACGGGUGAGUAAUACAUCGGAACGUGCCUAGUAGUGGGGGAUAACUACUCGAAAGAGUGGCUAAUACCGCAUGAGAUCUACGGAUGAAAGCAGGGGAUCGCAAGACCUUGUGCUACUAGAGCGGCCGAUGGCAGAUUAGGUAGUUGGUGGGAUAAAAGCUUACCAAGCCGACGAUCUGUAGCUGGUCUGAGAGGACGAUCAGCCACACUGGGACGGAGACACGGCCCGGACUCCUACGGGAGGCAGCAGUGGGGAAUUUUGGACAAUGGGCGCAAGCCUGAUCCAGCAAUGCCGCGUGCAGGAUGAAGGCCUUCGGGUUGUAAACUGCUUUUGUACGGAACGAAAAGCCCUGGGUUAAUACCCUGGGGUCAUGACGGUACCGUAAGAAUAAGCACCGGCUAACUACGUGCCAGCCGCCGCGGUAAUAC
rnacentral:rRNA from 1 species